CAACGAGAGAAAGAAAGAGGUCAAGUUUUAUGUUGUUCGAGAUGAGUGAAAUUUCGGGUUGCAAUUUUCUCCUGUUAUUGGGUACAAUUUCCCUACAAUUCCUUCCAGGGUUUUCGGAUGGUGAUUCAUCGACCUCCAAAACCACAAGUGGGUCUACAUUGGCCCUCAUACCUUCUGGACUUGUAGUAGUUGGAUUGUUUUGCUUUUUCCUCUUUAAGAUAUGGCAGAAGAGGAAACGAGAAGAGCAGUAUGCUCGUCUUUUGAAGUUGUUUGAACAAGAUGAUGAGCUUGAACUUGAGCUUGGUCUCCGCCAUUGAUAUAAUUACUUCAUUAACUCAAGGUUUGCCUAUCAUCUUUUUCCUUUCCGCUUUUCAUACUUCAUCAACAACUUUACCUGUUGAAAAUCUAAAUAAUAACAUACAACAGUCAAGUACUUUAGGAUAUCUAAACUGCGCUGCCAUGGAAGGGACACACCACUCUUGAUCAAUUCAAAAUCUUACGCUAGCUCCUUCUUUUCCCUUGUGAAAUGUGGAUCUGGUGAUGUUUCAUGUGUUGUUCCUGUUUACCCACAGUGUAAGAUGGUUUUGUGUUUACACAAUUGUACACAUACACACUCCAUAUCUGUGACUGUUGCAACUAAUUGCUGGGCAUAUCACAAUGACGAAUUUGGUGGGAAAUUUCUUGAGGAACCUUUUGCUGCAAGGGGUAGAGGAAGGAUAGAAUUAUCUAGGUUAGUGCAUAGUAGGCUCAAAAGAGAAAGGAGGUUUAUGAUUGGAAUCCUUGGUGAAAAGAAAUAAAACUUUGUUGGGGAAUAGCUUAGGAGAUUUAUCGUGAAAUGCAAGUAUUGAAUCUAUGGAUGCAUGACAAGGGCUGCGAUUACAAAAGACAGAAUAAAUGUAAUUAACAAAAAGAGUAAUAUUUCUGUUAUUCCUUGUUCAACUUUUUAAUUAGUUUUUAGUAUUUAGAUAUUUGAGCAUUUGUUCUGCUCCUUUGAGUGGAUGAUGUUUAUAUCCAAUUAUUUUUCCAGUAAGCAGUUGUAUCUGGAUAUUUUUGCAGGUUGAAUGGCUUUUGUAUUUGAAAAAUUUACUCUCAUGAUAACCACCUCACAAUUUGGUGUCCUGGACUGAGGUUAGAUAGCUUUGUCAACUGUAAUAUUUGUAAUUAUAUGUCUAGAUUUCUCUUUUUGUCUGCUUUUGGAAUAUCAUUUCAUAUGAGAUGUGAGCUGAGGAAAUGAUACUACAAUUUACAUGGAGUGUCUUGAGAUUAUUAUAAAUCUAAAUGUUUGGUGGAUAUCAAAGUCUUGACACGUGGUAUGAAAUCUGUCCCAUGAAGAGCCAUCUUGAUAUUCAUUAAGGCUUUAUGCCAUGAGUAUGUCAUCCACUUUUAAUUGGAUCAGAAUCAUGAGAUAAACUUGUGUGUUUGAUAGAAUUUUUUUUCCAUCACUUUGCCUUAUGUGGAGUGAUUUUAAUGUAAUACGUUUUGUGUGUUGUGUGUUGGGAAAAAAAGAAGCAACAUCAAUUAUUUUGAUACUGGAACCAAGGCUGAUAUACUUAUUGUUGGUUGAUUUUGAAUUGGAACUGUUAUGUUGUACAUUUUGAUGGGAUACAUGAGUAACAAGACCUGUCAAUGAACGUAUAAUUC